rnacentral:lncRNA from 1 species
GAUUGUUUAAUUCUUUUAUGAAUCAAAUAUCGAGUUUGAAUUUGUCCCGGUUAACACAGUGUUGUCAGAAUGAAUUGAUCGGUUUAAUAUUAGGAUCGGGUAUACACCUCGUUUUCAAUCUUACUUCUGCAUGUUUGUAUUUAAAAAAGUAGACCUAUUUUCUGCAUAUUUUCAUGUUCGUCAUUUCUGCAUGGUGUUAAUCUGAGGAUUUGCACACAAUAUAGUCUACAUUAUAAACUUAUUU